UAGGAGCAACUGCUAUUGUCAGAAAGCGAAGUGUCCCACCAGAGGUUCUUUGUUCAGCCAUCGGUACACACAGGUUAAACUCCCUGUUAUUCUUGUGCGUUAACGGUUAACCUAUGUUACUCUUCUCCUUAUCUGUGCUUCCUCACUGAUCUUCAGUUCAGUACCUUGCAGCCAGUAUUAUAUUUGAUACUAAAUAUGUGACAGAUACGCCAUCCAUGAUCCCAACAACCUAAAAUAUAUUUUUGGAAUAUGAACCGAAUAAAUAUCACCAUGUUUACCCCAUAUAGGAAAAAUAUGUAUAGUCAGGUCCUGUUUUACACUUACAGAAUAUACGUGGAAAUUCAGUUGGCAACAAGAAUCUUAUAGAGGUUACUUUCAUUUCCCUGGGUGAUUAGUUCAAGGAAACAUUUUAUGCUAUCCCUCGUUUUGCUGAUUAUUAUGGUAAUUAAGUUGUCCAACAAAAGUUAUAUUUUUAGGUCAGUUAUAUAUGUAUCCCUUCUAAUGGUACACUUUAUUCAUUGACUUAGGAAUUAAAAGUUACAAACAAUGUGCAGGGUGGUGGCAAGGAGCUCUUGCAGCCUCCAAGGUGAUUGCAUUAUCGUACUUUCUCUAUUUUGUUUUUUCAGUAGUACACAAACCAAACUAAAACUUAUAAUCUUACUUAUUUUGAUGUCAAAUUGGUUGAGCUAUCUCUCUUUAGGAUGACCAAGUUUAUGGGAUUUUUAACAUUUGCUACGCUAAUUGAUCAUUGUUUUUCUCAAUCUGCAAAUUCUGAGGAUUAAAACUGGGAGUGGCACUGCGAUGAUGAUGGACACGAAGGCGGUAGCCGGUACGAAGGGGGUGGUUUGAUGUGGGUGGCUUGACUCCCACGGAUUACCCAUGGUGUCUGGAGGCGUGAAAGAUCUACUGUGAUGUCAGAACUAUGGCGUGCCAUGGUGGCACCAGUUAUGACCGCAGCCUCCCAGUGCCAGGUUUCUAGCCUGAAGUGAUGAAGAAAAAGAGCUGGUGACAGAUGCUGCAAAUCUCACAACGCAAUUUGAAGCAGUUGCUAUGGAUGGUGAUGCACCUCCCUUUGGAAACUGUAUUGGCUCAGGUUUCUGUCAGAUGCCACGUGAUGUGGUAUCUGCUGAUGUUCUUCUCGACGACAACUAGAUGUGUGAAGUUGUCUCACUGAAGGCUGUAGGCAGGCCUGUCCUCAACUGCCUAUUUAUCACUAGCCCCGAUGAUUCGAUGCUUAGUUUUGCUUGCGUUAUUCAGUUUAUGUCUCGUGUCUCUUUGAGCCCCAGAACUUUUUCCAUACUUCAGUCAGUAUGCACAUAUUAUCGAUGUGCAAUUUAUUAUUUUUAUUUGU